rnacentral:rRNA from 1 species
GACGAACGCUGGCGGCGUGCUUAACACAUGCAAGUCGAACGGAGAGGCCUGCUUUCCCUUUUGGAUUUCGGUUACUCGCGUGGCGAACGGGUGAGUAACACGUGAGUGAUCUGCCCCCAACUUGGUUAUAAGCCUUGGAAACUGCGUCUAAUUCCCGAUAGGACUGCAGGGUUUUCCCUGUGGUGGCAAUCGCUUUUCUAGUGGUUGGGGAUGAGCUCGCGGCCUAUCAGCUUGUUGGAGGGGUAAUGGACUACAAAGGCGGCUACGGGUAGCCGGCCUGGGAGGGUGGACGGGCACAUUGGGACUGGGAUACGGCCCAGCGUGAGACAGGAGGAAGCAGUGGGGGAUAAUGGACAAUAGGCGGAAGGCUGAAGCAGGGGCGAGGGGAGGAGGAUGACGGCCUGUGGGUUGUAAACGCAUGAGGACAGCGAGGAUGCCACCUGGUUGGACGGGUUGUGACGGUAGUGGUAGAAGAAGCACCGGCUAACUACGUG